rnacentral:rRNA from 1 species
CCCUUAGAUGUCCUGGGCCGCACGCGCGCUACAAUGACUCACUCAGAAAGUUUUUCCUGAUCCGGAAGGAUUCGGGUAAUCUUCAUAGCAUGAGUCGUGUUGGGGAUCGAUCUUUGCAAUUAUAGAUCUUGAACGAGGAAUGCCUAGUAAGUGCAGCUCAUCAGGCUGUACUGAUUACGUCCCUGCCCUUUGUACACACCGCCCGUCGCUCCUACCGAUUGAGUGGUCCGGUGAACCUUCUGGAUUAAGCAGCAAUGCUUGAGAAGUUAGGUAAACCUUAUCACUUAGAGGAAGGAGAAGUCGUAACA